AGGCAGCAGUGGGGAAUAUUGGACAAUGGGGGCAACCCUGAUCCAGCCAUGCCGCGUGUGUGAAGAAGGCCUUCGGGUUGUAAAGCACUUUAAGCGAGGAGGAAGGUCUUUGAACUAAUAUUUCAAAGAAUUGACGUUACUCGCAGAAUAAGCACCGGCUAACUCUGUGCCAGCAGCCGCGGUAAUACAGAGGGUGCAAGCGUUAAUCGGAAUUACUGGGCGUAAAGCGCGCGUAGGCGGUAUGUUAAGUCGGAUGUGAAAUCCCCUGGGCUCAACCUAGGCAUUGCAUCCGAUACUGGCACACUAGAGUGUGGGAGAGGAAGGUAGAAUUCCAGGUGUAGCGGUGAAAUGCGUAGAGAUCUGGAGGAAUACCGAUGGCGAAGGCAGCCUUCUGGCCUAACACUGACGCUGAGGUGCGAAAGCAUGGGGAGCAAACAGGAUUAGAUACCCUGGUAGUCCACGCCGUAAACGAUGUCUGCUAGCCGUUGGGGGGCUUGUCCCUUCAGUGGCGGAGCUAACGCGAUAAGCAGACCGCCUGGGGAGUACGGCCGCAAGGUUAAAACUCAAAUGAAUUGACGGGGGC
rnacentral:rRNA from 1 species